AAUAAUAAUAAUUUAUACUCUGCCCCAUCUCCCCAAGGGGACUCAGAGCAGCUAACAGCAGUAUAAAUAACACAACAAUAAUAAAAAUAAAACGAUUAUAAUAAAACAAUAAACCAAUAAAACCAAUUUAAAUAGAAUCAACACAAGUAAAUAAUCCAUAAAAAUAUGAAAAAGUGAACCAAACAAAUUAACAACAAACAUAAUUCUUUAAAACCAGAAUUAUAUGGUAAAAAACAAUUAAAACAUCUCCACCACUGCUCAGGUUAGUGAGACCAAGGUUCAGUUUAGAAAUUGUAGUCCAUUUAGGUUAUCUGGGCGUUGUGUGCUGUUAUGUUUAACCGUUAUCAAAGGUCUGUUUAUAAAGUCAGAUUUUCAAUUCCUUCUGGAAUAUUGAAAGUGUAGAGUCUUGCCUAAUUUCCCUGGGAAGGGUGAUCCAGAGCUGGGGGGCACUACUGAGAAGGCUCUCUCCCCACCAACCAUGAUUGCAAUAGAGGGGAACUGUGAAAAGGACCUCCCUAGACAAUCUCAGGGCCCGCACAGGUUCAUAGAGAUGCAGUCGUGUAAACAGGCUGGACCUGAAACAUUUGUAGGUAAUAACCUGCACUUUGAAUUGGGCCCAGUAAUAUAUAGGUAGCCAAUGGAGUUGCUUUAGGAGGGGGGUGGUGUGCUCCCUGUAAUUUGCUCCAGUCAAAAAGAAAAAAAUCAUCCAGGGAGAUGUAUGAAAAUGGUACGAAUCAGGGGACCUUCAUGUUGAUCUCAAUAACUAUCACUGGGCAAGGUUCAGUUAUGCAUAGCUUCAGAAUAUAACUACAUUCAUUCUUAAAAGCAACUCUCUUAAGCAUCACCAUGAGCUGCAAUUGAUUUGGGAUAGUAAUCUGUCAAUAAUCUGCAUUUCCACCAAGCCUCUUGGGAUACAAUGGCAUAAACGUCUGUCUCCCUAAAACUGCAGUCAGUUUCCCCACCCCCCUCAAGUUGUUGCAGCAUGAGAAAGAGGUCAUCAGGUUGCCCUUUUUAUUUUUUUAAGGUGGGAAUGUAUCUGUAUUAACAAAAUCCCAUUCACAGUAUAACAGGAACACAGGACUGCCUGUGAUGCCCCACCUCCUCUUUCCCCCCUCUGUCUUUUUUGUUGGUGGUUUAUUUGUUUUUGUUUUAUCUCUAAUUUAGCAACAGCACUGCAGAGAAAAA